rnacentral:rRNA from 1 species
AACGAACGCUGGCGGCAGGCCUAACACAUGCAAGUCGAACGCUCUAGCAAUAGAGAGUGGCAGACGGGUGAGUAACGCGUGGGAAUCUUCCUAUCGGUACGGAAUAGCUCAGGGAAACUUGGGGUAAUACCGCAUACGCCUUCGGGGAAAGAUUUAUCGCCGAUAGAUGAGCCCGCGUCUGAUUAGCUAGUUGGUGAGGU